AAAAAAACAGAAGAUCUCCGGGUACAGGUCAAGGGUAACACCAGUCAAAAUGUCAGUAUCUAACUUCUUUACUUAUAAAUUUUGUUUUUCUUAACUAAACUUUCCUUUUAUUUUAGAGUUUUCAUUCAAGUUAUCAUUUAAAAGAUCAUUUUUUUCUAUCUUAGUGCCGUGAAGUUAUUGUCGAAUAUUUCAGAAAUACAAAAUUUUAAUAUGAAACUUCCUUAGUCCAGUUUAGCACCAUGCCUUUUAUUAAAAUAGACUCUAAAAAUUCAAUUAAAUCAUUAUUUAUAGAUACUUAGUUAUCAAAAGAGAUAGUUUUACAUUCAGAAAACUCAAAGUAAAUAAAGUGAAGAUUUAUAUUUCCACUGAUGAUUUUAAACACUAGUACAGAAAUUUUCUAGGCAUUAAUUGAACUGCUGCUCUUUACAGUGUUUUAUUUGGCAUAGGUAUUCUGAAUACAGGAGAAAUUUGGCUGUAUUCUGUUAUCCUAAUGCUCAUACUUUAGAGCUGUCCAGGAAUAAAUUAGAGGAUUUAAUUUGUGUUAUACUUGCAUAUUAUUUUGUUAGUAAUGUAAAGUUUUAAUAAAAAGUCACUGAUUGUGUAGUCAACAAUAAAAAUGAAGUUUUAGUUGAGAAAAAGCAACACUUUAUGUAAGCAGAUUUCCCUUGAAGAACUCCUAUUUAGUUAAGUGAAACUGUGUGCAAUGAAUUUCAGCUGUAUUUAGGAAUAAAAUAUUAGCUAAGUACUUAUGUAAUUUUUGAGUUACUGUAAAGCCUGAAAACUUAAAACAGUGAUUAUAAAGAUACUUUUAAGAUAAAAAUUAACGUUUUUCUGCAAAUUGUUAUUUUCAGGAACAAAUUAAGUAUAAAUUAAAUUACUAAAUGAAAUUUGUUUAAUUUGUUGACUUUUUAAAUGCAAGUGGACCGUAUUUCCUGUCAUUUUCAAUAAUUUCCUAAAACAGUGACAGGAUUAUAAGUGUAGUUUCCCUUUAAUUCUCACAUCUUUGAGUAGACAGAAAACAUACAGGUUAAAAAUAUACCCAUGUCAGUAUUAAAGCUUUAUGCUAACUAAUG
rnacentral:lncRNA from 1 species